CGCAUGCGUGCGAGAGAGCCGUCUACGGCCGCUUUCUUGGCCUGAGGAGACCGCGGAUCUGUCACCUGUCGCGGUUUGGUGACGCGACCGACCUCGGUGGGGAUGGCUCUGCACCUGGGUGGCCGAAAACUCACUCCUUAAAGGAGUUAAAUAACUCGCCCAAAGCACCCACAUACUAAGUGGUGAGGCCUGAGAUUGGAGCGGGAUGCCGGGACCUGACUGUGCGGUUCCCCGCGUGCUGGCUGCUGCGUUUGUCACUGUCGUUGUCGCCAUUCCUUCGUCCGCUCGCAAGCUUCCAGCGCCAGGUGUGGGGCAGAGUUGCAAAUGCGGGAAGCGACGUUUGCUCAUCCUGCACGACGGCCGGAAUUGCACAGAGGCCCUGCCUCUGAAGAACGCCCUGAAGACGACAAGUGAGCGAGCACAGCUUCCCGCGCUCCGGCCUGAAGCACUCCAUGGAAGAGGAACUGAGGCAGAGAGUUCGCACCCCUGACUGCUUAGUGCUCUUCAAGGCUGUGAAACAAACUCUUCGAGACAAGUUAGACUUGAAGACAAGUUGAGGCCCAGCUGUGUAAUCAAACAAGACAAGGAGCAGUUGUGCUGAAACUGUCAACCUGUCUCCCAAAGUGGCUUGUAUCAUUCUGCAUCCCCACCAUCAAUAGACAAGCAUUCCUGCUGCCAGCAUUCAGUGUUGUCAGUGGUCUGGAUUUUGGCCAUUCUGAUAGCUGAUGAUAUACCAUGAGCCUUCAGAUCUAACAAAUGUGCUUUGAUUAUGUGGCUCACCAGCAGCUCCUUUCAUCCUGGGAACAUUUUGCAAGCCAAAUCUAAUCAGUGCAGGGCAGCCAAGGGCUCUCAGAGGGUCCACAUCCUCCAGAGUUGUUUUCCAGAGCACUGCCCGAGGGUGAGAUUGAGUCACUUGAGUGCUCACACCCAGCUCAGACUCACUGAUUUCAGCAAUGGGAGGAGAGGCAAGAUGGUGGACAUGAAACACCUCCAGCCAGAGAGUCUCUGCAAGAAGGAAAGAUUUUAAAGGAAAGUGAAAGAAAUAAACAGACAGACGAACAUAGAUUGGAUUAGCGUCAGAAGGAAGGGCGCCUGAACCUCCACAGAAGACUCCACAGGAAGCGGUUGUGGAGCAGAACUAGAAGGAGGAAGGCGUCAGCAGGGUCUAAACCCGAGAGGCUUGGAGACCAACGACAAAGGGCAGCCCCAUCUGUUGAUGAAUUCAUCACUAGAGUGACAGCGUUCCGAUGAUGUACUCACAUAAUACAUUACCAAAGUGCCAGUCCUGAUGGCCCUGUGAUGUAUGACGCUAGCAUUUGUCAAUGCCCUGCAGUUCCAACUGAACCAUUCAUCACAGUAGCGUCUUCUUCAUGGGGACACUGCACGGCGACUCCUUCCUAGGGAAAUGAGGAACUGCGGAGGACGGAGCAGCCAGGUAACUGGAACACGGUCUACUUCAUUGCUGUAAAUAGGAGCCCAGGAGAUUCCUGUGUAAGUGCUUGUUUACCUAAAGGCUUGAGUUGCUUUCUGUUUGUUUGUUUUUUUUUUUUACCUUCCUGAUUUUAGUUUCUCUGGUUUCCCCAAGAUAGGGCCCGAGCUUGCAGGUGACAACCUGCAUCACAGGUAUAGCGAUUUUCUGAUGACGCAGUGGUAGUAGCAAGUUCUACGUCCCCUUUGCUGGUUUGACCACACCAAACUUCUGGAAAGAACCUCAUCAGUAGGAGGAUCUCCUACCAAAGAGAAAAAUCUCGAGUCUUAUGAAGAAGAAAUAUCAAAGAGGGUUGCAGGAAAUUCUUAAACGAAUCCACAUUUUCCAGGCUUUAUUAUUUUAUUUAUUUCUUUAUUUCGUUUAUUUAUUUGUUCCAGCUCACGGCUCUUCAGCAAAGAUUCCGUGGAUAUCUGCUGUCUCGGAAAGAGCCAUUCCCAGGGCUGGGCCUCGGGAAUAAACGUCAGCAUGAUGAGUGUGACAGGAUAGGGCCGCGGAAGUUUCCGUAGACAGAACAGGGACACCUGCGCAAGCCAAGGUGUUAGGAAAACUACUGGAGGGGCCGGUGACGCUGAGCCAAGUCUGGAAGAGCCGAGGCGUGUCAUUUCCUAGAGAGCAGGAAGGGUGUUGGAGGGAGGUGGGGCAGUGUAAACAGAGGCUCAGGGGGGACAACGGGAAGCCGUUCGAUGGUGUGAAGCAGUGGCCUUCCUUGAUCGGGUCUCAUGUGGCAGGAAAAUCAUUGUGUUGGUUAUUCGGGAACUGGCUUGGGGGAAGGUUGGAGAGGGGGGAGAGGCGUCCAGAGAGUUACCUAUGACAGGUGUCUGUAACCAGUGACUUCAGCAAGCAUAAAGACAGUGGGGGUGGGGGAGACGGGGAGGUUGGAGACAGAUUUUCUGGUAAAAUCAACAAAACUUGAUUGACAUAAUGAGGGCCAAGGCCGUGGCUGUCUUGUUGAUUACUGUGUUCCUUUUCUGCAUCCGAGAAAAGUUCGACACAUGUGCAGCAAAUCAAUGAAGGCAUACAUGUUGAGGCCACGAACAGGUAGAUCUUUAGACAGUAGAUGGAGAUGUCAAGCUGUCAUGGUUCAGAAACACAAGGCAUUAUUAAUGAGAUGACUUUUACAAAAUCUUCCCCCCUUACGUUUCAUAUUUAUUAAAUAAAUUUCUGAUUUGUGAUGUUACUUACUCAUUAGCAUUCAGCACUGGGGUGCAAAAAGUUUCAUUUAUCCUUACACAAGAAUAUAUUGACAUGUGUUUUCUACAUUGAACCCUGAAGAGACUGGGCUUUGGGAGACCGGGCGUCUUUGGGUCUCACAGGUGAGGGUUUUGAGCUACCACUACAAGGUUCCGUCUAACUGACUCACUAGGCUGUGUCUCCAUUGUGACCGAUCUCUGUUAUUUCUGUGAUAGUCAAAUGGGACCAAUAAUAGAUACGCUUUGCAACUCUCCAGCAAAGAUCACAUCAACUCAAGGAAGAACCACUGUUGGGGACCUAUGAAAGAUGGAGUUUAGAAAUGGUAGUGGCCAAACCCAUGGGACAUUCCCUAGGGAAUGCUCUGACUUAUCCCAAAGGUUUUCAACUGGGGGCUAUUUUGCCUUCCCCUGAAGGGACAUUUGGCAAUGUCAAGAGGCAUUUUUGCUUAUCCCAACUGGGGAGGCGGUACUUCUGGUAUUUAGUGGGGAGAGACCGAGAAUGCUAAUAAACAUCCUACAAUGCUCAGGGUAGCGCCGUCCCCCCCCCCCAACACUGAAUUUCUGUCCCCAAGUGUCAGCGGCACCCAGGUUGAGAAACCCUAAUCUAGACAUACACCUGGGAAAGAGGGGAUGGUAUCUUAGAGAAAGUAUGUCCUGCGAGUGGAUUCUCGCCCAGCUCUGACAUUUACUCGCUGUAUGACUUCAGCUAAGUCUCUCAACUUUGGUAGACCUUGGGGUUCUCACCUAUCACCUGAGAAGAUGGAAGCUAGAGUAUUUCCAAUUCUCUCCCUGUCCUAAAAUGUUAUGAAUUUGUGACUGCCCCGAAGGUCUUCUCAUCAUCUCCAGGAAAUCUGUUUUCAGUCUUGCUUAUAGAUUGUUUUGGGGAAAGAUCAUGCCAGGCAGCUCCCUUACAGAUGGCUUGACCUUCAAAAUUAUUGUGAGAAGUUUUCCAUCCCACGGAAGAACAUUGAGUGCAGGGGUUGUAAGUCUUUUCUUUGGAGAAAGCAUUGUUUCACAUUUUUUUUUUGUUGUUCCCUUCUAAAAUUCAAUAGCCUGAACUCAACCUCACUACCCAGAAGAAAACAAGAGAAAGAGACUAAAAGCCAGAAUUAAAAUAUGAGAAUCAAGGUUCAAGAACCCAAGGACUCUUCAAUCUCCGUUUUUAUGUAAAAUGGGGAAUUUAACAUUUAUUCUAUCUACCACCCCCACUCGAAGUUGCUGUUAAGAUAAUGAGUGCUAUGUCGUAGGCAUGGGCUAUAUAUCAAAAAGCAUUUUGUAUAGUGCAAACUAUUGUAUAAAUAUAGGAAUCGUUGUUAACAGUUCUUAAAAAAUGUGCAAGGUGGAUGAGGAAAUGCCAGCUGAUGAGCAAAUUAGUUAAAGUGCAAUUUACAAAGUCUUCUCUUGUUCUCCCGGGGUCACUUCACACUGGGAUGUAUGAUCAUUAAAUAUGACCCUCAGAGGCACUGUGUCUAAUGUAGGGUAAAUUACUCAAUUUUAAGACAAGAUUUUAAACAAGGGCCAAACUGUUUUAUCUACUUGAAUUUGGGUCACUAAUUACACCCAUUGAUCUUCAAGUAAUGAAUCUAACAACGACCUCAUAAAUUGUGCAAUGACAACGAGUCUCCUUUCUGUCCUUUUUCAUCAUAAAAUGAGACUGAUGCCUCUUUCAGUUAGUGGUGGCAAUUAUGUGUCCAUCAAAGAGAUGAGGCAAAGAGACGGGAAGCAGUGGUGUGCUAUUAGGGAGACUCGAAUGAGAGUCUCUGUUGUGUUGGUGCUGUGUGUCCCUAACCCUGCCCUUCUCCCUCUCUGAUCCUGUUUCCUGACAUGAAAAAAGUAUGAUGUUGUAUCAGAUGAUUUUUUCAUAGUCUUUUUCAACUUCCAAAUUUCAGGAGUCUAAGUAAAAUUCAUUUGUGACAUUGAAGAAAAGACACUAUUUAAAUGGUCAAAUCGUGCAUUUCUCCCAAAGCAGAUUAU